GGCCGCGGGUUGCCUAAUACAUGCAAGUCGUACGCACUGGCCCAACUGAUUGAUGGUGCUUGCACCUGAUUGACGAUGGAUCACCAGUGAGUGGCGGACGGGUGAGUAACACGUAGGUAACCUGCCCCGGAGCGGGGGAUAACAUUUGGAAACAGAUGCUAAUACCGCAUAACAACAAAAGCCACAUGGCUUUUGUUUGAAAGAUGGCUUUGGCUAUCACUCUGGGAUGGACCUGCGGUGCAUUAGCUAGUUGGUAAGGUAACGGCUUACCAAGGCGAUGAUGCAUAGCCGAGUUGAGAGACUGAUCGGCCACAAUGGAACUGAGACACGGUCCAUACUCCUACGGGAGGCAGCAGUAGGGAAUCUUCCACAAUGGGCGCAAGCCUGAUGGAGCAACACCGCGUGAGUGAAGAAGGGUUUCGGCUCGUAAAGCUCUGUUGUUGGAGAAGAACGUGCGUGAGAGUAACUGUUCACGCAGUGACGGUAUCCAACCAGAAAGUCACGGCUAACUACGUGCCAGCAGCCGCGGUAAUACGUAGGUGGCAAGCGUUAUCCGGAUUUAUUGGGCGUAAAGCGAGCGCAGGCGGUUGCUUAGGUCUGAUGUGAAAGCCUUCGGCUUAACCGAAGAAGUGCAUCGGAAACCGGGCGACUUGAGUGCAGAAGAGGACAGUGGAACUCCAUGUGUAGCGGUGGAAUGCGUAGAUAUAUGGAAGAACACCAGUGGCGAAGGCGGCUGUCUGGUCUGCAACUGACGCUGAGGCUCGAAAGCAUGGGUAGCGAACAGGAUUAGAUACCCUGGUAGUCCAUGCCGUAAACGAUGAGUGCUAGGUGUUGGAGGGUUUCCGCCCUUCAGUGCCGGAGCUAACGCAUUAAGCACUCCGCCUGGGGAGUACGACCGCAAGGUUGAAACUCAAAGGAAUUGACGGGGGCCCGCACAAGCGGUGGAGCAUGUGGUUUAAUUCGAAGCUACGCGAAGAACCUUACCAGGUCUUGACAUCUUGCGCUAACCUUAGAGAUAAGGCGUUCCCUUCGGGGACCCAUGACAGGGGUGCAUGGCCUCCUCACCCCGGGCCGGAAAUUUGGGUUAAUCCCGCACCAGCCCACCCUUGUUCCAUUUCCCGCUUAAUUGGGCCCCUUGGAACGCCGGGAAAACCCACUGCCGGUGACAAACCGGAGGAAGGUGGGGACGACGUCAGAUCAUCAUGCCCCUUAUGACCUGGGCUACACACGUGCUACAAUGGACGGUACAACGAGUCGCAAGCUCGCGAGAGUAAGCUAAUCUCUUAAAGCCGUUCUCAGUUCGGACUGUAGGCUGCAACUCGCCUACACGAAGUCGGAAUCGCUAGUAAUCGCGGAUCAGCAUGCCGCGGUGAAUACGUUCCCGGGCCUUGUACACACCGCCCGUCACACCAUGGGAGUUUGUAACGCCCAAAGUCGGUGGCCUAACCUUUAUGGAGGGAGCCGCCUAAGGCGGCCCA
rnacentral:rRNA from 1 species